rnacentral:misc_RNA from 1 species
GAUGAAGAACGCAGCGAAAUGCGAUAAGUAGUGUGAAUUGCAGAAUUCAGUGAAUCAUCGAAUCUUUGAACGCACAUUGCGCCCCUUGGUAUUCCAUGGGGCAUGCCUGUUCGAGCGUCAUUUGUACCUUCAAGCUUUGCUUGGUGUUGGGUGUUUGUCUCGCCUCCGCGUGUAGACUCGCCUCAAAACAAUUGGCAGCCGGCGUAUUGAUUUCGGAGCGCAGUACAUCUCGCGCUUUGCACUCACAACGACGACGUCCAAAAGUACAUCUUUACACUCUUGACCUCGGAUCAGGUAGGGAUACCCGCUGAACUUAAGCAUAUCAAUAAGCGGAGGA